AGAGUUUGAUCAUGGCUCAGAUUGAACGCUGGCGGCAGGCUUAACACAUGCAAGUCGAGCGGAGAUGAGGUGCUUGCACCUUAUCUUAGCGGCGGACGGGUGAGUAAUGCUUAGGAAUCUGCCUAUUAGUGGGGGACAACAUUCCGAAAGGAAUGCUAAUACCGCAUACGUCCUACGGGAGAAAGCAGGGGAUCUUCGGACCUUGCGCUAAUAGAUGAGCCUAAGUCGGAUUAGCUAGUUGGUGGGGUAAAGGCCUACCAAGGCGACGAUCUGUAGCGGGUCUGAGAGGAUGAUCCGCCACACUGGGACUGAGACACGGCCCAGACUCCUACGGGAGGCAGCAGUGGGGAAUAUUGGACAAUGGGGGGAACCCUGAUCCAGCCAUGCCGCGUGUGUGAAGAAGGCCUUAUGGUUGUAAAGCACUUUAAGCGAGGAGGAGGCUACUGAGACUAAUACUCUUGGAUAGUGGACGUUACUCGCAGAAUAAGCACCGGCUAACUCUGUGCCAGCAGCCGCGGUAAUACAGAGGGUGCGAGCGUUAAUCGGAUUUACUGGGCGUAAAGCGUGCGUAGGCGGCUUUUUAAGUCGGAUGUGAAAUCCCCGAGCUUAACUUGGGAAUUGCAUUCGAUACUGGGAAGCUAGAGUAUGGGAGAGGAUGGUAGAAUUCCAGGUGUAGCGGUGAAAUGCGUAGAGAUCUGGAGGAAUACCGAUGGCGAAGGCAGCCAUCUGGCCUAAUACUGACGCUGAGGUACGAAAGCAUGGGGAGCAAACAGGAUUAGAUACCCUGGUAGUCCAUGCCGUAAACGAUGUCUACUAGCCGUUGGGGCCUUUGAGGCUUUAGUGGCGCAGCUAACGCGAUAAGUAGACCGCC
rnacentral:rRNA from 1 species